GACGAACGCUGGCGGCGUGCCUAAUACAUGCAAGUCGAGCGCAGGAAACUGACGGAACUCUUCGGAGGGAAGGCAGUGGAAUGAGCGGCGGACGGGUGAGUAACACGUAAGGAACCUGACUCAAGGAUUGGGAUAACUCCGAGAAAUCGGAGCUAAUACCGGAUAGUUCAACGGACCGCAUGGUCCGCUGAUGAAAGGCGCUCCGGCGUCACCUUGAGAUGGCCUUGCGGUGCAUUAGCUAGUUGGUGGGGUAAUGGCCCACCAAGGCGACGAUGCAUAGCCGACCUGAGAGGGUGAUCGGCCACACGGGAACUGAGACACGGCCCAGACUCCUACGGGAGGCAGCAGUAGGGAAUCUUCCACAAUGGACGAAAGUCUGAUGGAGUAACGCCGCGUGAGUGAUGAAGGUUUUCGGAUCGUAAAACUCUGUUGUAAGGGAAGAACACGUACGAGAGGGAAUGCUCGUACCUUGACGGUACCUUACGAGAAAGCCACGGCUAACUACGUGCCAGCAGCCGCAGUAAUAC
rnacentral:rRNA from 1 species